AAAUUGAAGAGUUUGAUCAUGGCUCAGAUUGAACGCUGGCGGCAGGCCUAACACAUGCAAGUCGAACGGUAACAGGAAACAGCUUGCUGUUUCGCUGACGAGUGGCGGACGGGUGAGUAAUGUCUGGGAAACUGCCUGAUGGAGGGGGAUAACUACUGGAAACGGUAGCUAAUACCGCAUAACGUCGCAAGACCAAAGAGGGGGACCUUCGUGCCUCUUGCCAUCGGAUGUGCCCAGAUGGGAUUAGCUAGUAGGUGGGGUAACGGCUCACCUAGGCGACGAUCCCUAGCUGGUCUGAGAGGAUGACCAGCCACACUGGAACUGAGACACGGUCCAGACUCCUACGGGAGGCAGCAGUGGGGAAUAUUGCACAAUGGGCGCAAGCCUGAUGCAGCCAUGCCGCGUGUAUGAAGAAGGCCUUCGGGUUGUAAAGUACUUUCAGCGGGGAGGAAGGGAGUAA
rnacentral:rRNA from 1 species